rnacentral:lncRNA from 1 species
UAGUGACGUAUGAGAAGAGAAGUGAAAGACGACGAAUUAUUUACCGUUUUUAGGUUGUUAUCAAUGUUUAUGGGAUUUUUGUACGAAUUAUGAGGAUUUUUAUGAGAUUGGUAGGAUUGCGUGUGGAUUAUUUAUUUAUUUAUUUUUGUUUGACCUUUAAGGUUGUAUAUGUAGGCUGUUUAUUUAUUUGGUUUGUUGGAAUAUUUUUGUGGCUGUUAUGAUUAUCUAUACUAUUUAUAAAAGAACGAGUUUUAAAUUUUUUUUCUUUCCCAAAAUGCCGGUCCCUAUUAAUAUAUUUACAAUCAUAUACUAGCAACAGCAUUCAUUCAACUUUAAUGGAAUAAAUCAAAGUCAUACAAUUUUUAUUUUAUUUUUGAAUUAUUAUAAAAUAUAUUAAUUCUUGGUCAUUGGAUCUAAUCCAUUAACUGACGAAUUAAUUAUAUGUCACUUUUUCUACCUAAAUUGUCCUCAAUAGUGCACAUCAAAUUUCACUUUUUAUAUGCGCACUCUAUCUCCUAAUAACUGCCGCCCACAUAAUAUCAUAUUUUAUCACAAAUAAUAUUCGCAAUUUACAUAUUUCUUAAAUAUUUUUUUUCACACGUAAUACCCAUCUACAUAAUAUCCAAUCACGGAAUAUCUUCCGUAUAUAUAAUAUUUAGUCAUAUUUUUUUAAA